rnacentral:rRNA from 1 species
GACGAACGCUGGCGGCGUGCCUAACACAUGCAAGUCGAACGGGACUUGAGGGGCUUGCUCCUCAAGUUUAGUGGCGAACGGGUGAGUAACGCGUGAGAAACCUGCCUUUCAGUGGGGGACAACAGUUGGAAACGACUGCUAAUACCGCAUGAUGUAUCGAGAGGGCAUCCUUUUGAUACCAACGCUUAAUGUGCUGAAAGAUGGUCUCGCGUCUGAUUAGCUAGUUGGUGGGGUAACGGCCCACCAAGGCGACGAUCAGUAGCCGGUCUGAGAGGAUGAACGGCCACAUUGGGACUGAGAUACGGCCCAGACUCCUACGGGAGGCAGCAGUGGGGAAUAUUGGGCAAUGGGGGAAACCCUGACCCAGCAACGCCGCGUGAAGGAAGAAGGCCUUCGGGUUGUAAACUUCUUUUAGCAGGGACGAAGGACGUGACGGUACCUGCAGAAAAAGCAACGGCUAACUACGUGCCAGCCGCCGCAGUAAAAC